GUAGGGAAUCUUCCACAAUGGGCGCAAGCCUGAUGGAGCAACACCGCGUGAGUGAAGAAGGGUUUCGGCUCGUAAAGCUCUGUUGUUAAAGAAGAACACGUAUGAGAGUAACUGUUCAUACGUUGACGGUAUUUAACCAGAAAGUCACGGCUAACUACGUGUCAG
rnacentral:rRNA from 1 species